rnacentral:lncRNA from 1 species
CUGCAUCGAGCAACUUCAAUACCUCAGCUCUAACCACUUCCUUCGUGUGUGGAUUCAAUCUCCGCUGCCCAUUAAUGCUUGGUUUAAAUUUUUCCUCCAUGAGUAUCUUAUGCAUGCAUAUAGAUGGGCUGAUCCCCUUUAUAUCUGCAAUCGACCACCCAAUAGCUGUUUUAUUCUCCCUUAACACCCGAAGUAGUUUCUCUUCCUCUACCUCACUG